AAGUCGUAACAAGGUUUCCGUAGGUGAACCUGCGGAAGGAUCAUUACCGAGUUCAUGCCCUCACGGGUAGAUCUCCCACCCUUUGUAUACCUUACCUUUGUUGCUUUGGCGGGCCGCCUAGCUACUGGCUUCGGCUGGUAAGUGCCCGCCGGAGAACCCCAAACCCAACCCAUUUAUAGUGUCGUCUGAGUAAAAUUUUAAUAUUUAAAACUUUCAACAACGGAUCUCUUGGCUCUC
rnacentral:misc_RNA from 1 species